GCAUCCAUGGUCCAGCGGUAGGAUAAUUGCCUUCCAUCUAGCUCAGCUAGGCAUAGCAAUUGGCACGGGUUCGACUCCCGUUGGAUGCA